GGGGGACAACUCGAGGAAACUCGAGCUAAUACCGAAUACGCUCUAUGGAGGAAAGUGGGGGAUCUUCGGACCUCACGCUAUUAGAGGAGCCUGCGUUAGAUUAGCUAGUUGGUGAGGUAAAGGCUCACCAAGGCUACGAUCUUUAGCUGGUCUGAGAGGACGAUCAGCCACAUUGGGACUGAGACACGGCCCAGACUCCUACGGGAGGCAGCAGUGGGGAAUAUUGGACAAUGGGCGCAAGCCUGAUCCAGCCAUACCGCGUGUGUGAAGAAGGCCUUCGGGUUGUAAAGCACUUUAAGCAGGGAGAAAAAGUUAUAGGUUAAUACCCUAUGACCUUGAUGUUACCUGCAGAAUAAGCACCGGCUAAUUCCGUGCCAGCAGCCGCGGUAAUACGGAAGGUGCAAGCGUUAAUCGGAAUUACUGGGCGUAAAGCGCGCGUAGGUGGUUUGUUAAGUUGGAUGUGAAAGCCCUGGGCUCAACCUAGGAACUGCAUCCAAAACUAACUCACUAGAGUACGAUAGAGGGAGGUAGAAUUCAUAGUGUAGCGGUGGAAUGCGUAGAUAUUAUGAAGAAUACCAGUGGCGAAGGCGGCCUCCUGGAUCUGUACUGACACUGAGGUGCGAAAGCGUGGGUAGCGAACAGGAUUAGAUACCCUGGUAGUCCACGCCGUAAACGAUGGUUACUAGCUGUUUGGACCUUGUGUCUGAGUGGCUAAGCGAAAGUGAUAAGUGACCCACCUGGGGAGUACGUUCGCAAGAAUGAAACUCAAAGGAAUUGACGGGGGCCCGCACAAGCGGUGGAGCAUGUGGUUUAAUUCGAUGCAACGCGAAGAACCUUACCUGGUCUUGACAUCCUGCGAACUUUCUAGAGAUAGAUUGGUGCCUUCGGGAACGCAGUGACAGGUGCUGCAUGGCUGUCGUCAGCUCGUGUUGUGAAAUGUUGGGUUAAGUCCCGCAACGAGCGCAACCCUUAUCCUUAGUUGCCAGCACGUAAUGGUGGGAACUCUAAGGAGACUGCCGGUGACAAACCGGAGGAAGGUGGGGACGACGUCAAGUC
rnacentral:rRNA from 1 species